UAGGGAAUCUUCCGCAAUGGACGCAAGUCUGACGGAGCAACGCCGCGUGAGUGAAGAAGGAUUUCGGUUCGUAAAACUCUGUUGUUAGAGAAGAACAGCGCAUAGAGUAACUGUUAUGCGUGUGACGGUAUCUAACCAGAAAGCCCCGGCUAACUACGUGCCAGCAGCCGCGGUAAUACGUAGGGGGCUAGCGUUGUCCGGAAUCACUGGGCGUAAAGGGUUCGCAGGCGGAAAUGCAAGUCAGGUGUAAAAGGCAGUAGCUUAACUACUGUAAGCAUUUGAAACUGCAUAUCUUGAGAAGAGUAGAGGUAAGUGGAAUUUUUAGUGUAGCGGUGAAAUGCGUAGAUAUUAAAAAGAAUACCGGUGGCGAAGUCGACUUACUGGGCUCAUUCUGACGCUGAGGAACGAAAGCGUGGGUAGCAAACAGG
rnacentral:rRNA from 1 species